AAAAUAACAUAAUAUCUUGUCUUAUUCUAAAAACAUGGAAAGACAAGAAGCCUUUAAAAAAGACGUCUUUAAAAGCUAACUGAUCAACACCCAACAAAAUUUGGGUACCUAAAGAUAAAAUAAUUUCUCUUGCAGAUGUCCUUAGCAGCAAAGUUAAGACACUAAUCAUGGUACCUGUACAGUGGUUGCUCAUGACACAUGACAUGAAGAUUUGACUCUGAAGGUCAGAGGAACAUUUGGAUUCGGAGGAAACCAUAAGGGAAUAAUAAUUGAUCAUGGAAAAGGAAGGCAAAUAUGGCGAUAUCUGCUUGGUGUGUUUCAUGUUGUUGUUGUUUAAAUCUAUUUGUAGUGUGUUGAUGUUAUUGAUGACUUAUGUUUGAAUCAAUAUGAUUGCUCUUUGUUUUGAAGUCUACUUUGCAUUUAAAUUGAUUCAUCUUUAAAUAGUUGCAUAUUGC